AGAAAGUUAGUCUAACUAAGACAGUUGAUUUCGACCCAACAGAUCAUAGCCUGUCCCUAUGACUUUCUU
rnacentral:tRNA from 1 species